AAUCUGCCUUCAGGAUGGGGACAACAAUUGGAAACGAUCGCUAAUACCCGAUAUGACGAAAGUUGAAAGAUUUAUCGCCUGGAGAUGAGCUCGCGUCAGAUUAGCUAGAUGGUGUGGUAAAGGCGCACCAUGGCGACGAUCUGUAGCUGGUCUGAGAGGAUGAGCAGCCACACUGGGACUGAGACACGGCCCAGACUCCUACGGGAGGCAGCAGUGGGGAAUUUUCCGCAAUGGGCGCAAGCCUGACGGAGCAAUACCGCGUGAGG
rnacentral:rRNA from 1 species